AAAUACAGGUGCUCCUUAUCAGCCCCUUUCCUCAUUACAGAAUACAGGGUCUUAUGCUGGGCCUGCAAGUUAUUCAAGCACUUACUACAAUCCUGGUGAUUACCAGACAUCUGGAGGUUACACAAGUGGUGCUUACAAUAACCAGACGAACGCAUGGCAUGAAGGACAAUAUGCAACAUACACUUCCCAUCAGUAUCCAAGCUACAAUUCUGAUUCAAAUGCCGCAUACAGUUCUACCACAGCUCCUGCUGCUUCACAGUAUCAACAACAGUACAAGCAAUGGGCCGAUUAUUACAACCAUACACAAAAUGAUGUCCCCUGUGCUCCUGGAACAGAAAAUAUUUCCGUUUCUAAUGUAUCCAGUCUGAGUUGCCCUGUUCCGGCGGGUUACCCAGCUUCAGGUGUCCAGGCUCCGGCAUCUCAUGCUCCACCUGGCAAGCCAGAAUCUGGUUUGCCCGCAUUGUCUGCGGUGCAGUCUCCUGCUGUAGGUGGAAACGUUCAUGAUAGUUACUGGAAACAUUGGGCUCCCUCUUUCCAAAAUCAGCAGCCUGAUCCAGUACAGUCUUAUGGUCAAAAGCCUUUAGACAUAACCCCUUCUCAUGAAAACCUUCAACAAAGUUCUUCAUGUCCCCAAGGACCAAGCACACAAUAUCAAGCCUCUUAUCAGAUGCCCUAUAAUUAUCAGUCAUCCUUGCCCACUAUGCAGCAAACUGUUACACCAGGCGAUACAGGUAGUGCUAGCAAACUACAGAUUCCCACAAACCCUAGAAUAACUUCAACAUUGACCAUGGGUUUACCAAAGCUGGAUAUCCAAAGCUCUACAACUAAUGCAGCGGCCAAACCUGCAUAUGUCAGCGUUUCCUUACCAAAAACUAAUGAAAAAGUAUCAUCUAAUGCUGCAGAGAAUGCUCUCAAGCCUGAUACUUUUCCUAAAUCACUUUGUGGUUAUGUUGA
rnacentral:misc_RNA from 1 species